AGGACAAACGCUGGCGGGGUGCAUGAGACAUGCAAGUCGAACGAGGUGCCAUCGGGCUUGCUCGAUGGUUACCUAGUGGCGGACGGCUGAGUAACGUGUAGGUGACCUACCCGGAAGUGGGGAAUAACUGCCCGAAAGGGUGGCUAAUACCGCAUGUGGUCGGCGAUUCGAUUCGCCGUCUAAAGGAGCAAUUCGCUUCCGGAGGGGCCUGCGUCCGAUUAGCUAGUUGGUGGGGUAACGGCUCACCAAGGCGACGAUCGGUAGCUGGUCUGAGAGGAUGAUCAGCCAGACUGGGACUGAGAACGGCCCAGACUCCUACGGGAGGCAGCAGUCGGGAAUUUUGCCCAAUGGACGAAAGUCUGAGGCAGCAACUCCGCGUGAGGGAUGAAGGCUCUCGGGUCGUAAACCUCUUUUCUCAGGGAAGAUCCAAGACGGUACCUGAGGAAUAAGCGACGGCUAACUACGUGCCAGCAGCCGC
rnacentral:rRNA from 1 species